CCUCCCGUGGUGUAAAGUAGCACGGCCGACUUAUGAUCGGUAAGCCCUAGAUGUGGGCGCAGUCCGGGUGCGAGUCCUGGCGGGAGGACCA
rnacentral:tRNA from 1 species